GAUGAACGCUGGCUACAGGCUUAACACAUGCAAGUCGAGGGGAAACGACGGGGAAGCUUGCUUCCCCGGGCGUCGACCGGCGCACGGGUGAGUAACGCGUAUCCAACCUGCCUCUGACUGAGGGAUAACCCGUCGAAAGUCGGCCUAAUACCUCAUGGCAUCGUCUGCGGGCAUCCAACGACGAUUAAAGAUUUCAUCGGUCAGGGAUGGGGAUGCGUCUGAUUAGCUAGUUGGCGGGGUAACGGCCCACCAAGGCGACGAUCAGUAGGGGUUCUGAGAGGAAGGUACCCCAGAUUGGAACUGAGACACAGUCCAAACUCCUACGGGGGGCAGCAGUGAGGAAUAUUGGUCGAUGGGCGAGAGCCUGAACCAGCCAAGUAGCGUGCAGGAGGACGGCCCUAUGGGUUGUAAACUGCUUUUAUGCGGGGAUAAAGUGAGGGACGUGUCCUUCAUUGCAGGUACCGCAUGAAUAAGGACCGGCUAAUUCCGUG
rnacentral:rRNA from 1 species